rnacentral:pre_miRNA from 1 species
AUAUUACUCCCUCCGUCCGAAAAAACUUGUCAUCAAAAUGGACAAAAAGGGGUGUAUCUAGAACUAAAAUACAUCUAGAUACAUCCCCUUUUAUUCAUUUUAUUGACAAGUAUUUCCGGACGGAGGGAGUACUAC